rnacentral:snRNA from 1 species
AUGCCUCGCUUCGGCAGCACAUAUACUAAAACUGGAACAAUACAGAGAAGAUUAGCAUGGCCCCUGCGCAAGGAUGAUACGCAAAUUUGGUGAAGCGUUCCAUAUUUUU